rnacentral:rRNA from 1 species
UACGUAGGGCGCAAGCGUUGUCCGGAAUUAUUGGGCGUAAAGAGCUCGUAGGCGGCCUGUUACGUCUGCUGUGAAAUCCCGGGGCUUAACCCCGGGCGUGCAGUGGAUACGGGCAGGCUGGAGGCAGGCAGGGGAGAACGGAAUUCCCGGUGUAGCGGUGAAAUGCGUAGAUAUCAGGAGGAACACCUGUGGCGAAAGCGGCUCACUGGACCAUAACUGACGCUGAUGCACGAAAGCUAGGGGAGCAAACAGG